rnacentral:rRNA from 1 species
GAGUGGCGCGUGCUAUACAUGCAAGUCGAGCGGACAGAAGGGAGCUUGCUUCCCGGAUGUUUAGCGGCGGACGGGUGAGUAACACGUGGGUAACCUGCCUGUAAGACUGGGAUAACUCCGGGAAACCGGAGCUAAUACCGGAUAGUUCCUUGAACCGCAUGGUUCAAGGAUGAAAGACGGUUUCGGCUGUCACUUACAGAUGGACCCGCGGCGCAUUAGCUAGUUGGUGAGGUAACGGCUCACCAAGGCGACGAUGCGUAGCCGACCUGAGAGGGUGAUCGGCCACACUGGGACUGAGACACGGCCCAGACUCCUACGGGAGGCAGCAGUAGGGAAUCUUCCGCAAUGGACGAAAGUCUGACGGAGCAACGCCGCGUGAGUGAUGAAGGUUUUCGGAUCGUAAAGCUCUGUUGUUAGGGAAGAACAAGUGCAAGAGUAACUGCUUGCACCUUGACGGUACCUAACCAGAAAGCCACGGCUAACUACGUGCCAGCAGCCGCGGUAAUACGUAGGUGGCAAGCGUUGUCCGGAAUUAUUGGGCGUAAAGGGCUCGCAGGCGGUUUCUUAAGUCUGAUGUGAAAGCCCCCGGCUCAACCGGGGAGGGUCAUUUGGAAACUGGGAAACUUGAGUGCAAAAAAGGAGAGUGAAAUUCCCACGUGUAGCGGUGAAAUGCGUAGAGAUGGUGGGAGGAAACCACCAGGUGGCGAAAGCCGAGCUCUCUGGCUCUGUCAUCUGACGUCUGAAGGAGGCGAAAAGGCGUGGGAGGAGCGAAACAGGCAUUUAGAAUACCCUCUGGUAGUUCCCACGGCCGUUAAACGAUGAGUGCUAGCUGUUAAGGGGAUUUCCCGCCCCUUAUGCUGCAGCUAGGUCAUUUAGCACUCAGCAUGGGUGAGUUACGGUCGCAAGACUGCAAUUCUUCAAUGGAACUGAACUGAAGCCUGUCACAGUCGAUGGAUCCAUGUGAAG